rnacentral:rRNA from 1 species
UACAGAGGGGGCAAGCGUUGUUCGGAAUUACUGGGCGUAAAGGGCGCGUAGGCGGCCUGUUAAGUCGAACGUGAAAUCCCCGGGCUCAACCCGGGAACUGCGUCCGAUACUGGCAGGCUUGAAUCCGGGAGAGGGAUGUGGAAUUCCAGGUGUAGCGGUGAAAUGCGUAGAUAUCUGGAGGAACACCGGUGGCGAAGGCGGCUCUCUGGGACGGUACUGACGCUGAGACGCGAAAGCGUGGGGAGCGAACAGG